rnacentral:lncRNA from 1 species
UGGCAUUUUACUUGAUAUUUGAACGAGAACGAGAGGUGCAGUGCGCACGCACAAGGAAACAAAUGACGGGAGGGGGAAGAAAGGAGAAGAAGUUUAUGUAUUUGCAGCGCAAAAUUAAACAGGUGCGAUCAUACCAGCACUAAUGCACCGGAAUUAGGGUCCAUUGGUUUAUACGCAAAUGUGAGUCAAGAAGCUGGGGCAUUUUAAUCGAUAUUAGAACGAGAAGGAUAGAUGCAGAGUGCACGCAC